rnacentral:rRNA from 1 species
GGGUUGUGAGGUUAAGCGACUAAGCGUACACGGUGGAUGCCCUGGCAGUCAGAGGCGAUGAAGGGCGUGCUAAUCUGCGAUAAGCGCCGGUAAGGUGAUAUGAACCGUUAUAACCGGCGAUACCCGAAUGGGGAAACCCAGUGUGACUCGUCACACUAUCAUUAACUGAAUCCAUAGGUUAAUGAGGCGAACCGGGGGAACUGAAACAUCUAAGUACCCCGAGGAAAAGAAAUCAACCGAGAUUCCCCCAGUAGCGGCGAGCGAACGGGGAGGAGCCCAGAGCCUGAAUCAGCAUGUGUGUUAGUGGAAGCGUCUGGAAAGGCGCGCGAUACAGGGUGACAGCCCCGUACACAAAAGCGCAUGUGCUGUGAGCUCGAUGAGUAGGGCGGGACACGUGGUAUCCUGUCUGAAUAUGGGGGGACCAUCCUCCAAGGCUAAAUACUCCUGACUGACCGAUAGUGAACCAGUACCGUGAGGGAAAGGCGAAAAGAACCCCGGCGAGGGGAGUGAAAAAGAACCUGAAACCGUGUACGUACAAGCAGUGGGAGCACCCUUUGGGUGUGACUGCGUACCUUUUGUAUAAUGGGUCAGCGACUUAUAUUCUGUAGCAAGGUUAACCGAAUAGGGGAGCCGGAGGGAAACCGAGUCUUAAUUGGGCGUUAAGUUGCAGGGUAUAGACCCGAAACCCGGUGAUCUAGCCAUGGGCAGGUUGAAGGUUGGGUAACACUAACUGGAGGACCGAACCGACUAAUGUUGAAAAAUUAGCGGAUGACCUGUGGCUGGGGGUGAAAGGCCAAUCAAACCGGGAGAUAGCUGGUUCUCCCCGAAAGCUAUUUAGGUAGCGCCUCGUGAAUUCAUCUCCGGGGGUAGAGCACUGUUUCGGCUAGGGGGCCAUCCCGGCUUACCAACCCGAUGCAAACUGCGAAUACCGGAGAAUGUUAUCACGGGAGACACACGGCGGGUGCUAACGUCCGUCGUGAAGAGGGAAACAACCCAGACCGCCAGCUAAGGUCCCAAAGUCAUGGUUAAGUGGGAAACGAUGUGGGAAGGCCCAGACAGCCAGGAUGUUGGCUUAGAAGCAGCCAUCAUUUAAAGAAAGCGUAAUAGCUCACUGGUCGAGUCGGCCUGCGCGGAAGAUGUAACGGGGCUAAACCAUGCACCGAAGCUGCGGCAGCGACGCUUAUGCGUUGUUGGGUAGGGGAGCGUUCUGUAAGCCUGCGAAGGUGGCCUGUGAGGGUUGCUGGAGGUAUCAGAAGUGCGAAUGCUGACAUAAGUAACGAUAAAGCGGGUGAAAAGCCCGCUCGCCGGAAGACCAAGGGUUCCUGUCCAACGUUAAUCGGGGCAGGGUGAGUCGACCCCUAAGGCGAGGCCGAAAGGCGUAGUCGAUGGGAAACGGGUUAAUAUUCCCGUACUUGGUGUUACUGCGAAGGGGGGACGGAGAAGGCUAUGUUGGCCGGGCGACGGUUGUCCCGGUUUAAGCGUGUAGGUGUGUGUUCCAGGUAAAUCCGGUUCACUUUAACACUGAGGCGUGACGACGAGGCACUACGGUGCUGAAGCAACAAAUGCCCUGCUUCCAGGAAAAGCCUCUAAGCAUCAGGUAACAUCAAAUCGUACCCCAAACCGACACAGGUGGUCAGGUAGAGAAUACCAAGGCGCUUGAGAGAACUCGGGUGAAGGAACUAGGCAAAAUGGUGCCGUAACUUCGGGAGAAGGCACGCUGACACGUAGGUGAAGUGAUUUACUCAUGGAGCUGAAGUCAGUCGAAGAUACCAGCUGGCUGCAACUGUUUAUUAAAAACACAGCACUGUGCAAACACGAAAGUGGACGUAUACGGUGUGACGCCUGCCCGGUGCCGGAAGGUUAAUUGAUGGGGUCAGCGCAAGCGAAGCUCCUGAUCGAAGCCCCGGUAAACGGCGGCCGUAACUAUAACGGUCCUAAGGUAGCGAAAUUCCUUGUCGGGUAAGUUCCGACCUGCACGAAUGGCGUAAUGAUGGCCAGGCUGUCUCCACCCGAGACUCAGUGAAAUUGAACUCGCUGUGAAGAUGCAGUGUACCCGCGGCAAGACGGAAAGACCCCGUGAACCUUUACUAUAGCUUGACACUGAACAUUGAGCCUUGAUGUGUAGGAUAGGUGGGAGGCUUUGAAGUGUGGACGCCAGUCUGCAUGGAGCCGACCUUGAAAUACCACCCUUUAAUGUUUGAUGUUCUAACGUGGACCCGUUACCCGGGUUGCGGACAGUGUCUGGUGGGUAGUUUGACUGGGGCGGUCUCCUCCUAAAGAGUAACGGAGGAGCACGAAGGUUGGCUAAUCCUGGUCGGACAUCAGGAGGUUAGUGCAAUGGCAUAAGCCAGCUUGACUGCGAGCGUGACGGCGCGAGCAGGUGCGAAAGCAGGUCAUAGUGAUCCGGUGGUUCUGAAUGGAAGGGCCAUCGCUCAACGGAUAAAAGGUACUCCGGGGAUAACAGGCUGAUACCGCCCAAGAGUUCAUAUCGACGGCGGUGUUUGGCACCUCGAUGUCGGCUCAUCACAUCUGGGGCUGAAGUAGGUCCCAAGGGUAUGGCUGUUCGCCAUUUAAAGUGGUACGCGAGCUGGGUUUAGAACGUCGUGAGACAGUUCGGUCCCUAUCUGCCGUGGGCGCUGGAGAACUGAGGGGGGCUGCUCCUAGUACGAGAGGACCGGAGUGGACGCAUCACUGGUGUUCGGGUUGUCAUGCCAAUGGCACUGCCCGGUAGCUAAAUGCGGAAGAGAUAAGUGCUGAAAGCAUCUAAGCACGAAACUUGCCCCGAGAUGAGUUCUCCCUGAGACUUAAAGUCUCCUGAAGGAACGUUGAAGACGACGACGUUGAUAGGCCGGGUGUGUAAGCGCAGCGAUGCGUUGAGCUAACCGGUACUAAUGAACCGUGAGGCUUAACCUUACAACGCCGAAG